ACCGACGGGAGCUUGCUCCCUUAGGUCAGCGGCGGACGGGUGAGUAACACGUGGGUAACCUGCCUGUAAGACUGGGAUAACUCCGGGAAACCGGGGCUAAUACCGGAUGCUUGAUUGAACCGCAUGGUUCAAUCAUAAAAGGUGGCUUUUAGCUACCACUUACAGAUGGACCCGCGGCGCAUUAGCUAGUUGGUGAGGUAACGGCUCACCAAGGCGACGAUGCGUAGCCGACCUGAGAGGGUGAUCGGCCACACUGGGACUGAGACACGGCCCAGACUCCUACGGGAGGCAGCAGUAGGGAAUCUUCCGCAAUGGACGAAAGUCUGACGGAGCAACGCCGCGUGAGUGAUGAAGGUUUUCGGAUCGUAAAACUCUGUUGUUAGGGAAGAACAAGUACCGUUCGAAUAGGGCGGUACCUUGACGGUACCUAACCAGAAAGCCACGGCUAACUACGUGCCAGCAGCCGCGGUAAUACGUAGGUGGCAAGCGUUGUCCGGAAUUAUUGGGCGUAAAGCGCGCGCAGGCGGUUUCUUAAGUCUGAUGUGAAAGCCCCCGGCUCAACCGGGGAGGGUCAUUGGAAACUGGGGAACUUGAGUGCAGAAGAGGAGAGUGGAAUUCCACGUGUAGCGGUGAAAUGCGUAGAGAUGUGGAGGAACACCAGUGGCGAAGGCGACUCUCUGGUCUGUAACUGACGCUGAGGCGCGAAAGCGU
rnacentral:rRNA from 1 species